rnacentral:lncRNA from 1 species
GGGUUAUUCAUGCCUGUAAUCUCAUAAUGAAGGGGUGGCCUGCCCCUCCACACCUGUGGGUAUUUCUAGUCAGGUGGGAUGAGAGACAAAAAAGAAAUAAGACACAAAGUAUAGAGAAACAACAGUGAGCCCAGGGGACCGGCGCUCAACAUACUAAGGACCUGCACUGGCACAGGUCUCUGAGUUCCCUCAGUUUUUAUUGAUUAUUAUCUUCAUUAUUUCAGCAAAAAGGAAUGUAGUAGGAGGGCAGGGUGAUAAUAAGGAGAAGGUCAGCAACAAACAUGUGAGCAAUAGAAUCUAUGUCAUAAUGAAGUUGAAGGGAAGGUACUAUGACUGGACGUGCACGUAAGCCAGAUUUAUGUUUCUCUGCACCCAGACAUCUCAGUGGAGUAAAGAAUAACAAGGCAGCAUUGCUGCAAACAUGUCUCACUUCUCACCAUAGGGCGGUAUUUCUCCCAUCUCAGAACUGAACAAAUGUACAAUCGGGUUUUAUACCGAGACAUUCAGUUCCCAGGGGCAGGCAGGAGACAGUGGCCUUCCUCUAUCUCAACUGCAAGAGGCUUUCCACUUUGACUAAUCCACCUCAGCACAGACCCUUUAUGGGUGUCGGGCUGGGGGACCAUCAGGUCUUUCUCAUCCCACGAGGCCACUUUUCAGACUAUCACAUGGGGAGAAAUCUUGGACAAUACCCAGCUUUCAAGGGCAGGGCUCCCUGCGGCUUUCCACAGUGCAUUGUGCCCCUGGUUUAUUCAGACUAGAGAAUGGCGAUGACUUUUACCAAGUAUAUUGCUUUCAAACAUUUUGUUAACAAGGCACGUCCUGCACAGCCCUACAUGCCUUAAACCUUGAUUUCAUACAACACAUGUUUAAGGCAUGUAGGGCUGUGCAGGACGUGCCUUGUUAACCAAAUAUUUGGAAGCAGUAUACUUGGUAAAAGUCAUCACCAUUCUCUCGUCUCAAUAAACCAGGGGCACAAUGCACUGUGGAAAGCCGCAGGGACCUCUGCCCUUGAAAGCUGGGUAUUGUCCA